AUACGAAGGGUGCAAGCGUUACUCGGAAUUACUGGGCGUAAAGCGUGCGUAGGUGGUUGUUUAGGUCUGUCGUGAAAGCCCUGGGCUCAACCUGGGAAUGGCGAUGGAAACUGGGCGACUAGAGUGUGGCAGAGGGUAGUGGAAUUCCUGGUGUAGCAGUGAAAUGCGUAGAGAUCAGGAGGAACAUCCGUGGCGAAGGCGACUGGCUGGGCCAACACUGACACUGAGGCACGAAAGCGUGGGGAGCAAACAGGAUUAGAUACCCUGGUAGUCCACGCCCUAAACGAUGCGAACCGGAUGUUGGGUGCAAUUUUGCACGCAGUAUCGAAGCUAACGCGUUAAGUUCGCCGCCUGGGGAGUACGGUCGCAAGACUGAAACUCAAAUGAAUUGACGGGG
rnacentral:rRNA from 1 species